rnacentral:tRNA from 1 species
GGUGAUAUGCCUGAGUGGCUUAAAGGGCAAUCCUGCUAAGAUUGUGAAGGGGUAAAACUCUUCCGUGGGUUCGAAUCCCACUAUCACCGC